rnacentral:rRNA from 1 species
CUUUUCUCAGCUUAGUGGCGAACGGGUGAGUAACGCGUGAGUAACCUGCCCUGGAGUGGGGGACAACAGUUGGAAACGACUGCUAAUACCGCAUAAGCCCACGGAUCCGCAUGGAUCUGCGGGAAAAGGAUUUAUUCGCUCUAGGAUGGACUCGCGUCCAAUUAGCUAGUUGGUGAGGUAACGGCCCACCAAGGCGACGAUUGGUAGCCGGACUGAGAGGUUGAACGGCCACAUUGGGACUGAGACACGGCCCAGACUCCUACGGGAGGCAGCAGUGGGGGAUAUUGCACAAUGGGGGAAACCCUGAUGCAGCGACGCCGCGUGGAGGAAGAAGGUUUUCGGAUUGUAAACUCCUGUCGUUAGGGACGAUAAUGACGGUACCUAACAAGAAAGCACCGGCUAACUACGUGCCAGCAGCCGCGGUAAAACGUAGGGUGCAAGCGUUGUCCGGAAUUACUGGGUGUAAAGGGAGCGCGGGCGGACCGGCAAGUUGGAAGUGAAAACUAUGGGCUCAACCCAUAAAUUGCUUUCAAAACUGCUGGCCUUGAGUAGUGCAGAGGUAGGUGGAAUUCCCGGUGUAGCGGUGGAAUGCGUAGAUAUCGGGAGGAACACCAGUGGCGAAGGCGACCUACUGGGCACCAACUGACGCUGAGGCUCGAAAGCAUGGGUAGCAAACAGGAUUAGAUACCCUGGUAGUCCAUGCCGUAAACGAUGAUUACUAGGUGUUGGAGGAUUGACCCCUUCAGUGCCGCAGUUAACACAAUAAGUAAUCCACCUGGGGAGUACGACCGCAAGGUUGAAACUCAAAGGAAUUGACGG